UACGUAGGGUGCAAGCGUUAUCCGGAAUUAUUGGGCGUAAAGAGCUCGUAGGCGGUUUGUCGCGUCUGCUGUGAAAACUGGGGGCUCAACCCCCAGCCUGCAGUGGGUACGGGCAGACUAGAGUGCGGUAGGGGAGAUUGGAAUUCCUGGUGUAGCGGUGGAAUGCGCAGAUAUCAGGAGGAACACCAAUGGCGAAGGCAGAUCUCUGGGCCGUUACUGACGCUGAGGAGCGAAAGCAUGGGGAGCGAACAGG
rnacentral:rRNA from 1 species